AAAAAAAAAAUAGGAAGAGAAAAAGACAAAGUUUGAAAACCUGUGCAAGAUCAUGAAAGACAUCUUGGAGAAAAAGGUUAAAAAACAGGAAAAGAAAAAG